UUCAGGGUGUACCCUGUCGACUGCCCAAAGAUGGUUGGAAUAGGCUCCACCACACCUGCGAUUAGAAAAUGGACGGAUGGAUGAAUUCUGUGUGACAACAGUGACCAAAGAAAGUUCAACAACAUCUUCUCGCCCUGUCGGCGAGGCUUUUCCCAGGGGUAUUCCGAUUUCCUCCCACAUCCCAACAAGAUGCACCGUAGGUUAAUUGAACACUCAAAAUUGUCCCUAAGUGUGAUUGUGAGCGUCAGUGGUUGUUAAUUUAUUUGUGCCCUCUGAUUGUCUGUCAACCAGUUCAGGGUGUGCCGUGCCUACUGCCCGAAGAUGGUUGGAAUCGUCUCCAGCACGCCCGCGAUUAGAAAAUGGAUGGAUGGAGGAAUCCUGUGUGACAACGGUGACAAAAGAAAGUGAGUGGCAUAUUUUGACAACAAAUUUAUUCUUCCGUACCUGACUGAGACUUGAAGGCUAAUUAGAUGUCAUAACAGAGCGGACGCUUUCACCCGCUCUACUGUUUAACGAUUUAUGGGUUUUUUUUUGCUCCAUGAAAAGUCGCUUCUUUAUUUCUCAGCUGUAUAUUACAAGACUU